ACACGCUGGGUGUCUGUGAGUCACACCGUCUGGUGGUGGAGCUCAUCUUCUUUGAGCAGGACACGGGCGUUCCCAAGCUCAUAGGAAAGACCUUUGUCAAACUGCUGGACAUCGUCAGUGUGAGUGACACGGACAGGAGCGAUGGGGACGAACCCACCGCCCCUUCAUGCUCACCAUGCCAUGUUUAAAUGGGAUAAUAAUAAAAUGAUGAUCAUAAGAGUGAGUGUACAAAGCUGUCCAGGGCUCAACACGUGUGGAUGUCCUCCACUAAAGAACCAAUGGGUUCUUUCUAUUUUAGCUUCCAGUCGAUGGUACAAGUAUUGUCAACCACCUGCUGCUAGAAUGCUGGCUUGCAGGACCAGAUAUCAACUGUCUUGUCCUCUGUCCUGUUCUCUAAUCAGAAAUCACAAAUGAACCACCUGCUGGAGCUGAGGCUCAAGCGCCAGGUACAGAAUAUGAAUCAGACACCAUGGUCCACGUGUGGGACAGUUAUAUCAUGUUCAAUGGGAGUUUUGGACAGUGGAUUCCUGCAUUGACACACGCAAUAAAAGCCGACCUGUUUUCCAGAUCAUCUGUAAGCUGGAGAUGGAGAUGGUGAUUGCGUAUGGAUCCUUGGGUUACGGAUACUCCCACCAGUUGAAGCACCCAAAUAGAAACAUGGAGAGCCUAGUGGAGCGCUCGCUCUUCCUCCGCUGUCCACCACCAGACGACCGCAAAGACCAUCACUAUAAUGUGGUCACUCCUAAGCCAGUACCUUAUUCAGACUUUAUCGCAGCGCUGAUGUACAGAGAGACCACCAACCCAGACAACAGGACGACUUACCCCUCAAACAGCACAAUAUCCCCCAUCAUCCUGGAAUGUAUGGAGAAGAGGGGCAGUGCAUUCCUUUUGACCAGAGCCCUGUGGGAUGUAAAGGAACCAGAGCCCUGUGGGAUGUAAAGGAAACAGAGCCCUGUGGNNNNNNNNNNACAUUCUGACACUGUGACCCUUUUGUGUGAGUUUUUUCCCCCUAGAUUUGACAGACCGAUAUUCUCCCAUGUAACAUAUCGCUCCCUGUGUCUACAGUAAUGUGGUCACUCCUAAGCCAGUACCUUAUUCAGACUUUAUCGCAGCGCUGAUGUACAGAGAGACCACCAACCCAGACAACAGGACGACUUACCCCUCAAACAGCACAAUAUCCCCCAUCAUCCUGGAAUGUAUGGAGAAGAGGGGCAGGUACGGUUUAUUAUGGAAUCUCAUUCUGGGUUCAANNNNNNNNNNGCCUGUCACCAAGGGAGUACCCCAAGGCUCAAUCCUAGGCCCCACACUCUUCUCAAUUUAUUAGGAAGCUCUCAUCCAUUUAUACUCAGCUGGCCCCUGCCCGGAUUUUGUGUGAAAUGCUCUACAACAAAGCUUUCUUAGUGUCUAACAAGCUUUCUCUACCCUUAACCUUGUUCUGAACACCUCCAAAAUAAAGAUCAUGUGGUUUGGUAAG
rnacentral:lncRNA from 13 species